AAGCCUUGGAAACGAGGUCUAAUACCGGAUAUGAGCACCUAUCGCAUGGUGGGUGUUGGAAAGUUUUUCGGUGGGGGAUGGGCUCGCGGCCUAUCAGCUUGUUGGUGGGGUAAUGGCCUACCAAGGCGUCGACGGGUAGCCGGCCUGAGAGGGCGACCGGCCACACUGGGACUGAGACACGGCCCAGACUCCUACGGGAGGCAGCAGUGGGGAAUAUUGCACAAUGGGCGAAAGCCUGAUGCAGCGACGCCACGUGAGGGAUGACGGCCUUCGGGUUGUAAACCUCUUUCAGCAGGGAAGAAGCGAAAGUGACGGUACCUGCAGAAGAAGCGCCGGCUAACUACGUGCCAGCAGCCGCGGUAAUACGUAGGGCGCAAGCGUUGUCCGGAAUUAUUGGGCGUAAAGAGCUCGUAGGCGGUCUGUCGCGUCUGGUGUGAAAUCCCAUGGCUCAACUGUGGGCUUGCAUCGGGUACGGGCAGACUAGAGUGCUGUAGGGGAGACUGGAAUUCCUGGUGUAGCGGUGGAAUGCGCAGAUAUCAGGAGGAACACCGAUGGCGAAGGCAGGUCUCUGGGCAGUUACUGACGCUGAGGAGCGAAAGCAUGGGGAGCGAACAGGAUUAGAUACCCUGGUAGUCCAUGCCGUAAACGUUGGGCACUAGGUGUGGGGCGGGUUCCACUCGUUCUGUGCCGCAGCUAACGCAUUAAGUGCCCCGCCUGGGGAGUACGGCCGCAAGGCUAAAACUCAAAGGAAUUGACGGGGGCC
rnacentral:rRNA from 1 species